AUUCAUUUAUGUUUUGAUUUUAUUUUGAUUUGUUUUUAAAAAAUGUGUAUUUAUUAUUCUGGGGGCAUGUGACAUGCACACAGGAAAAUAAAUUGGAUUGUUUUAAUAUUACAUUAAUUAAUAAUAAUUAAUUUAAAUCAUUCUUAAAUCCCGUGUCAUGAAAAAUAGAAAAUAACAUGAAGUUGCACAAUUAAUCUUCUACUACUUCAGCUUUAAAUUAAUAAACUUGCACUUAAUGCAGACACAUUAUCAAACCUCAAAACAUUUUUUUUUGGUAUUGAAAUGUGUCCAUAGCACCGAGAACUAAUGCAAGGUCAAAUGGUCGAAAGGUCAUCAUCUUUUGAUCAGUUAAUUCCUGAUUUAUAUCAUUAUGUUAGACAUACAGUCUUUGUAAUAUUUCAGGUAAAGUGCUGUUAGGAGAAGUCUGGGUUUUGUAGAAAAAAAACAUGUUUAGGUAUUGUGGUAGUACUGAGUAGUUCUUCUUCUUCUUGUUCUUCUUCUUCUCAGAUUUCCUGUCGAGUCGUAUUACGAAGGAUUCAUACCUGUGUCUAAAUUCACAGAUUUCUCAUCCAGGUACUUGACUUUUAUCUCACGUUUCUGGGUGAGCCAAGGGGAGAAUGUGUAGAAAGGAUUUACUCACCUAAAAACUCACUUUCCCAUAAUCCUCCUCUCCCUUCCCUUGCCACACUGCCUCAGCUGCAUGUAAUUAGGACUUAUUGACUCAGUUUGUCUAAAGAGCAGUUUGUUUCUGCCACCAGCAGUCCUCCACUGGGUUUUAUGACAAAUAUUUGUCUUGUGACUCCUUGGAGGUGAACCGCUGCCUGAGACAAACUGUUGUUCAUCUUUCAACUCAACAACAUCAGCUGACCACACCCUCCCGGCCUCUCCACUGAACACAGCUCCAACACAGGGCUGUAGGAGAGGUGAUGUGACCAGCAGAUGGUGCUCUGACUGCACUGAGAGCAGCACCACCAGCAGCACUUUGGUGAAGCCAUCUCCUCAUCAACUCCCCUAUUUGACUUUUACGCCACUUUGCCCAGCACUGGUGAGAGUCCGUUUGACUAUUGGCUCCGGCUCAAUAAAACUAUGGAGCAUGUUCUUGACUGUCUA